rnacentral:rRNA from 1 species
GUUUGAUCCUGGCUCAGAUUGAACGCUGGCGGCAGGCCUAACACAUGCAAGUCGAACGGUAACAGGAAACAGCUUGCUGUUUCGCUGACGAGUGGCGGACGGGUGAGUAAUGUCUAGGGAAACUGCCUGAUGGAGGGGGAUAACUACUGGAAACGGUAGCUAAUACCGCAUAACGUCGCAAGACCAAAGAGGGGGACCCUCGGGCCUCUUGCCAUCGGAUGUGCCCAGAUGGGAUUAGCUUGUUGGUGGGUAACGGCUCACCAAGGCGACGAUCCCUAGCUGGUCUGAGAGGAUGACCAGCCACACUGGAACUGAGACACGGUCCAGACUCCUACGGGAGGCAGCAGUGGGGAAUAUUGCACAAUGGGCGCAAGCCUGAUGCAGCCAUGCCGCGUGUAUGAAGAAGGCCUUCGGGUUGUAAAGUACUUCAGCGGGGAGGAAGGGAGUAAAGUUAAUACCUUUGCUCAUUGACGUUACCCGCAGAAGAAGCACCGGCUAACUCCGUG